UAUUUUUUUGUUUGUUGACUAAGUUUUUUUAGAAUAUUGAUUUUAUUUUUAUUGUUUUUCCUGUGAGGGGUUUGAUUAUAUUGUGUGUUUACCUUUUGUAUAAGGGUCUUGAGAGUUGUUUUAUUUUAGUUUUUUAGACAGCAAACGAUUUUUCAGACUAUUUUUUAUGUAAUAUUAUGUUGAAUGUUUUGAAAGGGGUGAUACGUUUACGUGUUUGUUGGUAACUAGCUUAAUUAAUGGGGAGGGUAAUCCUUUCUUUUUCUCUUUCAAACCCAGCGUAUAACAUGCCUUAGGGGUAGGUGUAGGUGUAAUUACCUUUGUUAUUAUGUAUGAGAUUGUACCUGUUUUAUUUUUUUUUGUUAAUUCAUGGAUGAGUAGAUAAUUUUUAUUGGGUUAUUUUCUUUAAUUUUUUUUUAUUUUUAUAGUAUUAUUACUUACUAAUUUUCUUUUGAUUUGUUUAUUAAAAUCUUAGCUAGAGUUUUACUAGUUUCUCCUAUUCUAUGGUUUUCUAAAUGAUUGUGGUUUCCACACUAAGGUAGCGAGGUCAUUAGUCACUUAAUUAGUGACUUGUAUGAAUGGAGGUUUCAAGGGACUAUUCUUUUUAUUUUUGAAAUUAUAUUUUCUUUGACAAUAAAGAUUUUUACCCUAAGACAAAAAGACCCUAGAAUUUUUAUAAGAGGUUUCUUAUUUAGUUGGGGCAAUGAUUUAUGAUAAACAUUAUUAUCUUAGGUUUUGUUUGAACUUUUGUUUAAAGAUAGAUUGAUAAAAUACUCUAGGGAUAACAGCUUUAUGGCCUUUUUGAGUUCUUAUUAAUAAGGUUGUUUGGGACCUCGAUGUUGGAUUAAGACUACUUCUAGGCGUAGGGGCUUAGUGUAGUUAGACUGUUCGUCUAUUAAAUUCUUACAUGAUCUGAGUUAAAGUCGGCGUGAGCCAGACUGGAUUUUAUCUAGGGUUUUAUGCUAGCUUACUGCUUUUCAGUACGAAAGGACCUUUGGCGGGAAAUGAUUUUUUUGUUCUUG
rnacentral:rRNA from 1 species